CAGUCUCUGCCCCAGCUAUCAUUUCCAGCACAGUGAUUCAAUUAGACAAGAUUUAUUUCUCCUAGUUCCUAUGGCGAUCACAUCCCUAUUUUAAAAAAAGAAAAGAAAGAAGAAGGAAGGAACUCUGUACAGAGACUUCCCAAAGGAACAGAAUGAAAAUCGUGAUAGGCAGCAUUUGGGGCAUCUGACAAAUUUGGAUAAAAGCGUAAAGAAAAUGCACUACUGAGUUGCACCCCACAGAGACCACUACAAUCUGAAUGAUCUGUCCUGUGAUUCCUGAUUUAUGCUUCUGAUGACAGAGUUCUACCAAAUGACCACGGGAGGGAGUUGAGCUAUGAAAUGCAACAGAAGGAAACAUUGCUAGCUUCAAGAGUUUUCUUUUAACUUCAGUGGAGAAGGAGAUUGACACUAAUGCCUUACCUAAG
ensembl:lncRNA